rnacentral:rRNA from 1 species
UACAGAGGUCCCAAGCGUUGUUCGGAUUCACUGGACGUAAAGGGUGCGUAGGCGGUCGGGUAAGUCUGAUGUGAAAUCUCACAGCUUAACUGUGAAACUGCAUUGGAUACUAUCCGGCUAGAGGAAUGGAGGGGAGACUGGAAUACUUGGUGUAGCAGUGAAAUGCGUAGAUAUCAAGUGGAACACCAGUGGCGAAGGCGAGUCUCUGGACAUUUCCUGACGCUGAGGCACGAAAGCCAGGGGAGCAAACGGG